rnacentral:rRNA from 1 species
GUGGGGAAUUUUGCACAAUGGGGGAAACCCUGAUGCAGCGACGCCGCGUGAUUUAGAAGGCCUUCGGGUUGUAAAAAUCUUUUUUAUGGGAUGAAAAUGACAGUACCAUAAGAAUAAGGUCCGGCUAAAUACGUGCCAGCAGCCGCGGUAAUACGUAUGGACCGAGCGUUGUCCGGAAUCAUUGGGCGUAAAGGGUACGUAGGCGGCCCAGUAAGUUAGAAGUGAAAUAAUAUAGCUCAACUAUAUAAAGCUUUUAAAACUGCUAGGCUUGAGAGAUGGAAGGGAAAGUGGAAUUCCUAGUGUAGCGGUGAAAUGCGCAGAUAUUAGGAAGAAUACCGGUGGCGAAGGCGACUUUCUGGUCAUCAUCUGACGCUGAGGUACGAAAGCGUGGGUAGCAAACAGGAUUAGAUACCCUAGUAGUCC